GAUGAACGCUAGCAGAACGCCUAACACAUGCAAGUCGAACGAACCAGCAAUGGUUAGUGGCAAACGGGCGAGUAACGCGUAUCUAACCUACCCUUGAGUGAGGCACAACUACAGAGAUGUAGCUAAUUCCUCAUACGUUCUAGAGAAUGAGAAUAUCUAGAAGAAAGAUUUAUCGCUCAGGGAGGGGGGUGCGUCCUAUCAGGUAGUUGGUGAGGUAAUAGCUCACCAAGCCUAUGACGGGUAGCCGGUCUGAGAGGAUGUCCGGCCGCAAUGGAACUGAGAACGGUCCAUACUCCUACGGGAGGCAGCAGUGGGGAAUAUUGGACAAUGGGCGAAAGCCUGAUCCAGCGAUUCUGCGUGAAGGAUGAAGCCUUAUGGGGUGUAAACUUCUUUUCUGGGGGAAGACGAAUGACGGUACCUCAGGAAUAAGAGACGGCUAACUACGUG
rnacentral:rRNA from 1 species